GAUGAAGAACGCAGCGAAAUGCGAUAAGUAAUGUGAAUUGCAGAAUUCAGUGAAUCAUCGAAUCUUUGAACGCACAUUGCGCCCGCCAGUAUUCUGGCGGGCAUGCCUGUUCGAGCGUCAUUUCAACCAUCAAGCCCCAGUCUUGUGUUGGGGACCUGCGGCUGCCGCAGGCCCUGAAAACCAGUGGCGGGCUCGCUGUCACACCGGGCGUAGUAGAUUUUAUCUCGCUCAGGGCGUGCUGCGGGUUCCGGCCGUUAAAAAGCCUUUUUUACCCAAGGUUGACCUCGGAUCAGGUAGGAAGACCCGCUGAACUUAAGCAUAUCAAUAAGCGGAGGA
rnacentral:misc_RNA from 1 species